rnacentral:rRNA from 1 species
GAGUUUGAUCGUGGCUCAGGAUAAACGUUGGCGGCGUGCCUAACGCAUGCAAGUCGCACGGGGCGCAAGCCUAGUGGCGGACGGGUGAGUAACACGUAGGGACCUGCCCGGAAGUGGGGGACAACUCUCCGAAAGGAGAGCUAAUACCGCAUACGGUCUACGGACCAAAGCCGAAAGGCGCUUCUGGAGGGACCUGCGGUAGGAUUAGCUUGUUGGUGGGGUAACGGCCUACCAAGGCGACGAUCCAUAGCUGGUCUGAGAGGAUGAUCAGCCACACUGGGACUGAGACACGGCCCAGACUCCUACGGGAGGCAGCAGCGAGGAAUUUUGCACAAUCGACGAAAGUCGGAUGCAGCAACGCCGCGUGGGGGAAGAAGGCUCUCGAGUUGUAAACCCCUUUUGUGAGGGAAGAAGAUCUGACGGUACCUCACGAAUAAGUCACGGCUAACUACGUGCCAGCAGCCGCAGUAAC